ACGUGUUACUUCGGUUGCUUGAGAAUUUUUCCACAUGUAGAAACUCGUCUGGAGCACUUGAGAACUCAUCGGACUUUAGUCCUGUUAAAAGUAGACUUCGCUUACCGCCUUUUAAUGGCUAUCAAAAACUUGAGGAAGUUUUUGAUGACGUUCGCUCGUGUUAUGAAAAAGUCUCGCCUGCGAGAAAAGCUGAACUUCUUAAAAUUACGAGGACGUUAUGGCAUUUUUUCUCAGAUGAAAACGCGUGCUUUCGGGUUAUGAAGUCUCUAGUAGGCUUAAAAGAUAAAGAAG